GGCUCAUUAAAUCACACCUAAUCUACUGGAUAGUACACAGUUACUUGGAUAACUGCGGUAAUUCUGGAGCUAAUACAUGCACAAAACCUCGAACUUACGUGAGAGGUGCUUUUAUUAGAUCAAAACCAAACGGCUUCGGCUGUACUCUUGGUGACUCUGAAUAACUUUGGGCUGAUCGCAUAGCCUAGCGCUGGCGACAUAUCCUUCGAGGGUGUGCCCUAUCAACUUUCGACUGUGGCAUAGACGCCCACAGUGGUUUUGACGGGUAACGGGGAAUCAGGGUUCGAUUCCGGAGAGGGAGCCUUAAAAACGGCUACCACAUCUAAGGAAGGCAGCAGGCACGCAAAUUACCCAAUGACCGAAGGUCGAGGUAGUGACGAAAAAUAACGAUCUUGGACUCAUCCGAGGCCCAAGAAUUGGAAUGAGUACACUUUAAAACCGUCCCCGAGGAUCUAUUGGAGGGCAAGUCUGGUGCCAGCAGCCGCGGUAAUUCCAGCUCCAAUAGCGUAUAUUAAAGUUGUUGUGGUUAAAAAGCUCGUAGUUGGAUCUCGGCAAACUGAGGGCGGUUACUUGCUGUACUACUGCCCUAUAGUUUGUAUUAUUGCUGGAGGUUUAGAGGUGAUCUUAAUCGAUUGUCUCUGGAUGCCAGCAGGUUUACUUUGAAAAAAUUAGAGUGCUCAAAGCAGGCUUAUACGCCUGAAUAUUCGUGCAUGGAAUAAUAGAAUAGGAACUUGUUCUUAUUUUGUUGGUUUUCGAGAAUCAAGUUAAUGAUUAAUAGGGACAGUUGGGGGCAUUUGUAUUCAAGCGAAAGAGGUGAAAUUCUUGGACCGUUUGAAGACAAACUACUGCGAAAGCAUUUGCCAAGAAUGUUUUCAUUAAUCAAGAACGAAAGUUAGAGGUUCGAAGGCGAUUAGAUACCGCCCUAGUUCUAACCAUAAACGAUGCCAGCUAGCGAUCUGCCUUCGUUUUCUUUGUAGACAAGGCAGGAAGCUUCCGGGAAACCAAAGCGUGUGGGUUCCAGGGGAAGUAUGGUUGCAAAGCUGAAACUUAAAGGAAUUGACGGAAGGGCACCACCAGGAGUGGAGCCUGUGGCUUAAUUUGACUCAACACGGGGAAUCUCACCAGGCCCGGACACUGGAAGGAUUGACAGAUUGAUAGCUCUUUCUUGAUUCGGUGGGUGGUGGUGCAUGGCCGUUCUUAGUUGGUGGAGUGAUUUGUCUGGUUAAUUCCGAUAACGAACGAGACUCUGUCCUGCUAAAUAGUGUUCGCUUCUCUUUUGAGCGGACAAUUCUUCUUAGAGGGACUGGCGGCUCUUAGUCGCACGAGAUUGAGCAAUAACAGGUCUGUGAUGCCCUUAGAUGUUCUGGGCCGCACACGCGCUACACUGAAAAGCUCAGCGUGUCUCCCUUCCUGAGAAGGACGGGUAAACCGCUGAACCCUUUUCGUGGUAGGGAUAGGGGCUUGCAAUUAUUCCCCUUGAACCAGGAAUUCCCAGUAGGCGCAAGUCAUCAGCUUGCGUCGAUUACGUCCCUGCCCUUUGUACACACCGCCCGUCGCUACUACCGAUUGAACGUUUU
rnacentral:rRNA from 1 species